rnacentral:rRNA from 1 species
AGCGAACGCUGGCGGCAGGCUUAACACAUGCAAGUCGAGCGGGCCUUUCGGGGUCAGCGGCGGACGGGUGAGUAACGCGUGGGAACGUGCCCUCUGGUUCGGAAUAACUCAGGGAAACUUGAGCUAAUACCGGAUACGCCCUCUUGGGGAAAGGCUUGCUGCCGGAGGAUCGGCCCGCGUCUGAUUAGAUAGUUGGUGAGGUAACGGCUCACCAAGGCGACGAUCAGUAGCUGGUCUGAGAGGAUGAUCAGCGACACUGGGACUGAGACACGGCCCAGACUCCUACGGGAGGCAGCAGAGGGGAAUAUUGGACAAUGGGCGCAAGCCUGAUCCAGCCAGGCCGGGUGAGUGAUGAAGGCCUUAGGGUUGUAAAGCUCUUUUAUCCGGGACGAUAAUGACGGUACCGGAGGAAUAAGCCCCGGCUAACUUCGUG